rnacentral:sRNA from 1 species
UGGUUUGACGCACAGACCUUUAAAGCAGUUAGUAAAGUAGUCCUCCAGAAGUUAUCCAAAGAUACCCUUCGUCGUGAGCUUCUCUUAAUCGCUUCAAAAAUUCUGUCAAGCACACCAUCACGCCGUAAGGCACUAAUUCAAUAUCAAAGGUAAUUUCUAUGUCUGCUAAAAUGACUGGUCUGGUAAAAUGGUUCAACGCUGAUAAAGGUUUCGGCUUCAUCACUCCUGACGAUGGCUCUAAAGAUGUGUUCGUACACUUCUCUGCUAUCCAGAACGAUGGCUACAAAUCUCUGGACGAAGGUCAGAAAGUGUCCUUCACCAUCGAAAGCGGCGCUAAAGGCCCGGCAGCUGGUAACGUUGUAAGCCUGUAAGCUUCCUCGUUCUAAGCACAGUAUUUUAAAACCCGCCUCUGGCGGGUUUUU